GCCGGGCAUGCUGGUGCAUGCCUGUAAUCCUAGCCACUCAGGAGGCUGAGGCAGGAGAAUCGCUUGAACCCAGGAGGUGGAGAUUGCAGUGAGCUGAGAGUGCACCACUGCACUCCCGCCUGGGGGACAGAGCAAGAUUCUGUCUCAA
ensembl:misc_RNA Metazoa_SRP Metazoan signal recognition particle RNA